rnacentral:pre_miRNA from 1 species
AUAUUACUCCCUCCGUUCGGAAAUACUUGUCGAAAAAAUGGAUAAAAAUGAAUAUAUCUAGAACUAAGAUAUGUCUAGAUACAUCCAUUCCUCCGACAAGUAUUUCUGGACGGAGGAAGUAUAUA